rnacentral:sRNA from 1 species
GUGCAUCCAGAUCAACACCGACUCCAGCCUCCUCAACUCCGAGUUCUGCUUCAUCCUCAAGGUUCCCUUUGAGAGUGAGGACAACCAGGGCAUCGUGUAUGCCUGGGUGGGCCGGGCAUCAGACCCUGACGAAGCCAAGUUGGCAGAAGACAUCCUGAACACCAUGUUUGACACCUCCUACAGCAAGCAGGUCAGGGGGCGGGUGGGCAGGUGGGCACACACAGGGGAGCCAGGGCAGGCAGGGGCCCUGGGCUGGACUGGCCUUUCCCGCAGGUUAUCAACGAAGGUGCUCCAAUGAGAAGGGCUACUUUGCAGUGACUGAGAAAUGCUCUGACUUUUGCCAAGAUGACCUGGCAGAUGAUGACAUCAUGUUGCUAGACAACGGCCAAGAGGUCUACAUGUGGGUGGGGACCCAGACUAGCCAGGUGGAGAUCAAGCUGAGCCUGAAGGCCUGCCAG